rnacentral:rRNA from 1 species
CAGUCGCCGCGGUAAUACGUAGGUGGCAAGCGUUGUCCGGAUUUAUUGGGCGUAAAGCGAGCGCAGGCGGUUAGAUAAGUCUGAAGUUAAAGGCUGUGGCUUAACCAUAGUACGCUUUGGAAACUGUUUAACUUGAGUGCAAGAGGGGAGAGUGGAAUUCCAUGUGUAGCGGUGAAAUGCGUAGAUAUAUUGAGGAACACCGGUGGCGAAAGCGGCUCUCUGACUUGUAACUGACGCUGAGGCUCGAAAGCGUGGGGAGCAAACAGGAUUAGAUACCCGUGUAGUCCCUGUCUCUUAUACA